CCUACGGGAGGCAGCAGUAGGGAAUAUUGCUCAAUGGGCGAAACCCUGAACCAGCAACGCCGCGUGAAGGAUGAAGGUCUUAGGAUUGUUAACUCCUUUUGAUAGAGAAGAUAAUGACGGUAUCUAACGAAUAAUCACUGGCUAAAUCCGUGCAAGCAGCCGCGGUAAUACGGAGGGUGCAAGCGUUAUGCGGAAUGACUGGGCGUAAAGAGGGCGUAGGCGGGAUAGCAAGUCAGAUGUGAAAGCCUAUGGCUUAACCAUAGAACUGCAUUUGAAACUGUUAUUCUAGAGUAUGGGAGAGGUAGGUGGAAUUCUUGGUGUAGGGGUAAAAUCCGUAGAGAUCAAGAGGAAUACUCAUUGCGAAGGCGACCUGCUAGAACAUAACUGACGCUGAUGCGCGAAAGCGUGGGGAUCAAACAGGAUUAGAUACCCCUGUAGUC
rnacentral:rRNA from 1 species